rnacentral:rRNA from 1 species
AUUGAACGCUGGCGGCAUGCCUUACACAUGCAAGUCGAACGGUAACGGGCCUUCGGGUGCCGACGAGUGGCGAACGGGUGAGUAAUACAUCGGAACGUGCCCGAUCGUGGGGGAUAACGAGGCGAAAGCUUUGCUAAUACCGCAUACGAUCUACGGAUGAAAGCAGGGGACCGCAAGGCCUUGCGCGGACGGAGCGGCCGAUGGCAGAUUAGGUAGUUGGUGGGAUAAAAGCUUACCAAGCCGACGAUCUGUAGCUGGUCUGAGAGGAUGAUCAGCCACACUGGGACUGGGACACGGCCCAGACUCCUACGGGAGGCAGCAGUGGGGAAUUUUGGACAAUGGGCGUAAGCCUGAUCCAGCCAUGCCGCGUGCAGGAUGAAGGCCUUCGGGUUGUAAACUGCUUUUGUACGGAACGAAAAGCCUUCUUUUAAUACAGGAGGGUCAUGACGGUACCGUAAGAAUAAGCACCGGCUAACUACGUG